rnacentral:rRNA from 1 species
AAUAGAUACCCAGGUAGUCCACGCCGUAAACGAUGGGUACUAGAUUUGGUGGGUCUUGACCCCCGCCGAAUCGGCGCUAACGCACUAAGUACCCCGCCUGGGAAGUACGGUCGCAAGACUAAAACUCAAAGGAAUUGACGGGGGCCCGCACAAGCGGUGGAUCAUGUGGUUUAAUUCGAAGCAACGCGAAGAACCUUACCUGGAUUUGACAUCCUCUGACAGCUGUAGAGAUACAGUCUUCGUAGCAAUACGACAGAGAGACAGGUGCUGCAUGGCUGUCGUCAGCUCGUGUGGUGACAUGUUGGGUUAAGUCCCGCAACGAGCGCAACCCUUGUCCUUAGUUGCCAGCAUUAAGUUGGGCUCUCUAAGGAGACUGCCGUGGUGAACACGGAGGAAGGUGGGGAUGACGUCAAGUCCUCAUGGCCUUUAUAUCCAGGGCGACACACGUGAUACAAUGGCCGGUCAACGGGAAGCCAACCCGCGAGGGGAGCGGAUCCCAGCAAACCCGGUCUCAGUUCAGAUUGCAGGCUG